GCUGGCGACCAUAGCAAUAGUGAACCACCUGAUCACUUCCCGAACUCAGAAGUGAAACC
rnacentral:rRNA from 1 species